CUGCUUCUGCAGCACAUAUGCUAAAAUUGGAAUGACACAGAGAUUAGCAUGACCCCUGCACAAAGACGACACACAAUUACAGCAUUCCAUAUUAAU
ensembl:snRNA U6 U6 spliceosomal RNA